UCGAACGAGACUUUCCUCGGUGGUAACACCUUUGAUUGUCUAGUGGCGAACGGGUGAGUAACACGUGAGAAACCUGCCCUGAAGACGGGGAUAACAGGAGGAAACUUCUGCUAAUACCCGAUACCCCCACCGGAUCGCAUGGUCUGGUGAGGAAAUGGAUUCCGCUUCAGGAGGGUCUCGCGGCCUAUCAGCUUGUUGGUGAGGUAACGGCUUACCAAGGCUUGGACGGGUAGCUGGUCUGAGAGGACGAUCAGCCACACUGGGACUGAGACACGGCCCAGACUCCUACGGGAGGCAGCAGUAAGGAAUAUUGCGCAAUGGGCGAAAGCCUGACGCAGCAACGCCGCGUGCGGGAUGAAGGCCCUCGGGUUGUAAACCGCUUUCAGUAGGGAAGAAAAUGACGGUACCUACAGAAGAAGCCCCGGCCAACUACGUGCCAGCAGCCGCGGUAACACGUAGGGGGCGAGCGUUG
rnacentral:rRNA from 1 species